rnacentral:lncRNA from 1 species
AUUUGCUGCCACUGGGGACAUGAGAUUGCUUCCAUGGAAACAGAACCAUGGAUUGUUUUUCCAGAAAACGUCUCAAUCUAAUUUGUGUGGAGCUGCACUGUGUGUGUGCGCGCGCACGUGUGUGUGGAGUGUUUUAGUCACAGAACAGGGGUGAGAAGAGGAAGGGAGCAUUUACAUGGAACCCCCAAUUUUCCUUGAAUCCCAGGGAGUUAAUUAUUUCAGGAGUCUUGGAUUUUAUGCAAUGGAACAACAGGCCAGACUCCCAGCAAUAAAGAAGCCAAAGAGAGUUGGUACCUCAGUGAUGAGAAUGAAGUUGGCCUAUGCUGCCCUCCUGAAGCCCCAACUGAUGGCUGAGCUCUUAGCAAUGUGCCAAGCCAGUGGAUAUGCCUUCAGGAGCUUGGCCCAAAGCAAGUAAGCAAAUAAUUGUUGAACGACC